UAUCCACGUCACGAGCACCGGGAAGUCUCGCGCGUCUUUCAGCUAGACACAUCAGCACUGCAGUGAAUCUAGAACACUCAGCCUCUUUGUGUGUAUGUGUCUGUAUGUCUGUCUACCGGGCGUCGUUCCCACGCCGACACCGAUGACGUUUAAUUAGUGUGCACACACGCAAUUACACAGAGAGAAAGAGAUAGAGAGAAAGGAGAAAGAAAAUGGGUAACGCACGUGCUCUUACCGGAAUGAAGCAGUCUCGCGCGCCGGUUUGGGUGCAGGGAGAAGCGCCGGAUGUCUCCCAGUGACGACCCUGUGGCUCUCUGUUACCAGCAGCAACAUUCACAGGCGGAGCUUUGGAUCCGGAGAAUCCUGGCUAUCCACAGCUGGUGCAGGUGUCCUCAGAUGUGUCCUCAGGCGUGGUGUUACGGUGUCUAGCCCCCCAGGGUCACAGUGGCCGAGUGUUUGAGCUCUACCACGUGCGCACACUCAAACUCUUGGUACAGUUUGACACAGGGCGCUCGUACGCCGACUUUCAGCUCAACACCAGCACUUCAGAUUCCGAGGAUAUCUACUGCUGCCGCUACGACCACAGCGGGUUCAGCAAGUACACCAGGCCCACUCCUCCACCAAGUACGUCUCCCACCUGUCUCACUACGACCACAGCAGGUUCAGCCCCUAUACCUGUCUCACUCCUCCACCAUGUACGCCUCAUUCCUUUCUCACACCUGUCUCACUAUGACCACACCAUGUUCAGCCUGUACAACCAGCUCACUUCUCCACCACGUACGUCUCACACCUGUCUCACUACGACCGCAGCAUGUUCAGCCCCUAUACCUGUCUCACUCCUCCACCAUGUAUGUCUCAGUCCUCUCUC
ensembl:lncRNA